rnacentral:rRNA from 1 species
UACGAGGGGGGCGAGCGUUUGUUCGGAAUUAUUGGGCGUAAAGGGCGCGUAGGCGGUCGGAUAAGUCUUGUGUGAAAUCUUCGGGCUCAACUCGAAGUCUGCACGAGAAACUGUCUGGCUUGAGUGUGGGAGAGGUGAGUGGAAUUCCUGGUGUAGCGGUGAAAUGCGUAGAUAUCAGGAGGAACACCUGUGGCGAAAGCGGCUCACUGGACCACAACUGACGCUGAGGCGCGAAAGCUAGGGGAGCAAACAGG